AUCCAGUUGACGAGUCCCAAAUAGGACGAAACACACAUGAAACUGGAU
rfam:Schistosoma rodhaini strain Burundi genome assembly, scaffold: SROB_scaffold0001613